rnacentral:rRNA from 1 species
GAUGAACGCUGGCGGCGUGCCUAAUACAUGCAAGUCGAGCGAACGGACGAGAAGCUUGCUUCUCUGAUGUUAGCGGCGGACGGGUGAGUAACACGUGGAUAACCUACCUAUAAGACUGGGAUAACUUCGGGAAACCGGAGCUAAUACCGGAUAAUAUUUUGAACCGCAUGGUUCAAAAGUGAAAGACGGUCUUGCUGUCACUUAUAGAUGGAUCCGCGCUGCAUUAGCUAGUUGGUAAGGUAACGGCUUACCAAGGCAACGAUGCAUAGCCGACCUGAGAGGGUGAUCGGCCACACUGGAACUGAGACACGGUCCAGACUCCUACGGGAGGCAGCAGUAGGGAAUCUUCCGCAAUGGGCGAAAGCCUGACGGAGCAACGCCGCGUGAGUGAUGAAGGUCUUCGGAUCGUAAAACUCUGUUAUUAGGGAAGAACAUAUGUGUAAGUAACUGUGCACAUCUUGACGGUACCUAAUCAGAAAGCCACGGCUAACUACGUGCCAGCAGCCGCGGUAAUACGUAGGUGGCAAGCGUUAUCCGGAAUUAUUGGGCGUAAAGCGCGCGUAGGCGGUUUUUUAAGUCUGAUGUGAAAGCCCACGGCUCAACCGUGGAGGGUCAUUGGAAACUGGAAAACUUGAGUGCAGAAGAGGAAAGUGGAAUUCCAUGUGUAGCGGUGAAAUGCGCAGAGAUAUGGAGGAACACCAGUGGCGAAGGCGACUUUCUGGUCUGUAACUGACGCUGAUGUGCGAAAGCGUGGGGAUCAAACAGGAUUAGAUACCCUGGUAGUCCACGCCGUAAACGAUGAGUGCUAAGUGUUAGGGGGUUUCCGCCCCUUAGUGCUGCAGCUAACGCAUUAAGCACUCCGCCUGGGGAGUACGACCGCAAGGUUGAAACUCAAAGGAAUUGACGGGGACCCGCACAAGCGGUGGAGCAUGUGGUUUAAUUCGAAGCAACGCGGAGAACCUUACCAAAUCUUGACAUCCUUUGACAACUCUAGAGAUAGAGCCUUCCCCUUCGGGGGGGCAAAGUGACAGGUGGUGCAUGGUUGUCGUCAGCUCGUGUCGUGAGAUGUUGGGUUAAGUCCCGCAACGAGCGCAACCCUUAAGCUUAGUUGCCAUCAUUAAGUUGGGCACUCUAAGUUGACUGCCGGUGACAAACCGGAGGAAGGUGGGGAUGACGUCAAAUCAUCAUGCCCCUUAUGAUUUGGGCUACACACGUGCUACAAUGGACAAUACAAAGGGCAGCGAAACCGCGAGGUCAAGCAAAUCCCAUAAAGUUGUUCUCAGUUCGGAUUGUAGUCUGCAACUCGACUACAUGAAGCUGGAAUCGCUAGUAAUCGUAGAUCAGCAUGCUACGGUGAAUACGUUCCCGGGUCU